rnacentral:rRNA from 1 species
AUUGAACGCUGGCGGCAGGCCUAACACAUGCAAGUCGAACGAGUGGCGGGCGGGUGAGUAAUGUCUGGAAAACUGCCUGAUGGAGGGGGAUAACUCCUGGAAACGUUAGCUAAAACCGCAUAACAUCAGAUGGGCCCAGAUUGGAUUGGCUUGUUGUUGUGGUAACGGCUCACAAAGGCGACGAUACCUAGCUGGUCUGAGAGGAUGACCAGCCACACUGGAACUGAGACACGGUCCAGACGCCUACGGGAGGCAGCAGUGGGGAAUAUUGCACAAUGGGCGCAAGCCGGAUGCAGCCAUGCGGCGUGGAUGAAGAAGGCCUUCGGGUUGUAAAGUACUUUAAGCGGGGAGGCGGGACCCGAAGAAGAAGCACCCGAUAACUCCGUGCCAGCAGCCGCGGUAAUUC